CCCAAGGACGCCGGCGGCUGGACCAACCAAAGCGGCUUUUCGCAUGCCCGCCCGGCGCUGUGCGCAGCCAGAGGGAAGUGACAGCGAACGCCUGCCCAGCCCACUUUCGCGUAACCCCAGCGUUGGAGCGGGAGUUUCCUGCUUUCCUGACUCCAUCACAUUCUGCUCCCGAGCUGAUGCCUUCUUGCCAGUUCCCCCAAGGCUCUGGGCUCCCGUUUCCCCACCAGGAAAUGAAGGUCAAUCAGAUGCGCCUCUGACCAUCUCUGGAGGGGAGGAUGUGGGAGGGGCCGGAAGCCCACCUUCAAGGUCUCCGCCCAAGGUAACACACACACACACCCCCUCCCCCGGCUGUUACACCACUAAUCCCCCCAUCAGAGGAGGGGGCGCCUUCAGGGAAGGAACGGGAAGUUCUUCUGAGCUUUGUUCAAAUUCUAGCAAAGGAUUUAGCGAGCUAGGGUUUAGCAAACUAAAUCCUAAAUAGGAUUCUGUCUAAAUAGGAUUUAGCCAACUGGGGAUCCAGGGGCCCGUGAGCGCUUGAAAUCCUAGGGCUCCGGGAGCUGACGCGGGCUCAUCUGGAGGCCAGUGAAAGGUCAGAUCCUCUCUCCUCACGGGGCUGGAUAUCCAGUGCAUUGAAACGAGCUCUCUGGGUGAAACAUCUGAAAGUAAAGCCUCAAGGAAAAGAUACUGAGAAUGAUGAGUUUCCGUCGGGGACUGCCCUGGAGGAGGUUUGGGUGGCUGCCACCUGGAGGUCCCCACUCAGACCGGGAGGGACUGGGAGAAGGGACCUGGGAGCCUGGGAGGGUGUCAGCUUCCUAACACUGCCCGAGACCUGGCGCCUCCCAGGCCACACGGCUCGGGACUGACAGUCCUGGGAACGGUCGAGUCACCGCAGCGCAGCAACCCGAGCCGACAGGCCUCGGUGGCUCCCAAGUGCAGGUGUUUGGUCCCAUUUUUUUCACUUGGUUUUCACAGAAACCGCCUUGGAUUAAGCCUGGCGGGUGAUACCAUCCACCUGCCCCAUUUUCAGAUGAAAACAUUGGGGAAGAGCCCCGCCGGGAAGUGGUGGAGACCCAGCCCUCAGGCCAGCACAGACACCAUGCUGCAGUUCUUUGCAGAAGGGCCACUGCCGGGAGAUCCUCCUGGGUGGCUCUGAUGGAGGACACACAGCCUGGCCAGGCAGGCGCCCGCUGAGCCAGCGCUUCCCAGGCCCAGGACCUCACAAGACUCACUCCUACCCAAAGAUGGGCCCCUGCAGUUGGCUCUGAUCAGCAUCCGUUGAUUGACUGAAGACUGAAGGUCCCAUCAAGAGGCAGGUGGAGAGGAGAGAGUCCUGGAGGCUGCUGGUCCACUAUCCCCACCCCAGGUCUGCCAGGGCUUGGGUGGGGACCAGGAGAGGAGGGGCAGGGGGCCGGGGCACCUGGGGUCCAAGUGCCUUAGCACCUGAGUUUAGUGCCUUCGGGGCAGGUGCGCUUCCUGGUCAGAUAAAACUUGGCGACAUUCCAGCUAUGACUAAAGGACCAAAAAACUUGUUUAGGACUAUGGCUUGUGUUAGAAAGGCACCUGGACUAAGGCGCUAACUUUUCUUAAUUUAAUACAAAUUUAAACCAUAAAUAAGCAGAGGGCUAAGAUUCCUAGAUGUCUUUCUUCCCAUGGUCCAGCAGGGUGAUGGCCUUGAACAGACAUCUGUUU
rnacentral:lncRNA from 1 species